rnacentral:sRNA from 1 species
CCUUGGAGAGAAUGGUGGAUUAUCAUCGUGCUCGAGAAGAUGAAGCAUCUCUUGAAGCAGCAGAAAUUCAGCUGCGG